UACGUAGGGGGCAAGCGUUGUCCGGAAUUAUUGGGCGUAAAGAGCGUGUAGGCGGUCCGGUAAGUCAGCUGUGAAAGUCAAGGGCUCAACCCUUGAAAGCCGGUUGAUACUGUCGGGCUAGAGUCCGGAAGAGGCGAGUGGAAUUCCCGGUGUAGCGGUGAAAUGCGCAGAUAUCAGGAGGAACACCAAUGGCGAAGGCAGCUCGCUGGGACGGUACUGACGCUGAGACGCGAAAGCGUGGGGAGCAAACAGG
rnacentral:rRNA from 1 species